UACGUAGGGGGCGAGCGUUGUCCGGAUUUACUGGGCGUAAAGAGCGCGCAGGCGGUCGAUUUAGUCGCGUGUGAAAGCCCCCGGCUCAACUGGGGAGGGUCACGCGAUACUGAUCGACUCGAAGGCAGGAGAGGGUAGUGGAAUUCCCGGUGUAGUGGUGAAAUGCGUAGAUAUCGGGAGGAACACCAGUGGCGAAGGCGACUACCUGGCCUGUUCUUGACGCUGAGGCGCGAAAGCUAGGGGAGCAAACGGG
rnacentral:rRNA from 1 species